rnacentral:rRNA from 1 species
GCGUCCGAUUAGGCUAGUUGGUGGGGUAAAAGCCCACCAAGGCGAUGAUCGGUAACUGGUCUGAGAGGAUGACCAGUCACNCUGGGNCUGAGACACGGCCCAGACUCCUACGGGGAGGCAGCAGUGGGGAAUAUUGGACAAUGGGGGCAACCCUGAUCCAGCAAUGCCGCGUGUGUGAAGAAGGCCUUCGGGUUGUAAAGCACUUUAGUUGGGGAGGAAGAUAUGGAGUUUAAGAGACACUAUAUUUGACUGUACCCAAGGAAAA